UGGUGUUGUUUUUCCUGAAAAGGGUGAUAAAAAAAGUGUUUAAAGUUUGCCUGAAAUUAUCAAUGAAAAUCACUUUCAUUCAUAACAAAUUUUUCCUCCAAAGUAGACAGUUGGACUUUAUUUUUUCCUGCUAGACUUUUAAGACUUGUUUACUUUUUCAACUCAAUUUCUCAAAGCGUCAACAUAUCUGGUUGAUAAACAAAUCAACACCCUAAGAUUUUAUUCGCUGCCUCCCAGUAAAAAUUUAUUCUUCAAAGAUAUUCAGUAAAAAAAGGUUUCUAAAAAUCAAUAUAUAACUUGUUUGCCUUCAAAGCAAUCUUACUUAAUUUUCGAACGAAAUCAGACAGCAUUGCAAUUCAUUUUCUUACCACGAUAGACAGAUUAUUCAGCGAUUGAUUAUUGGUACACUGAAAAAAAAACCUGCGAUAACAGUGACAAUUAUUGACCCAAAUAACUUUAUGAUUCAAUUCCCAACUGACAAAUUCUAAAUAGAUCUGAGUUUAGUUUACAAUAAACAAUGAAAUUUGUCAUCGUUACACUUUCAGUUAUGCUUUUUGCAGCAACUUUACCGAAAGGGAAUUAUGCUCACUAUGCGAGGGGCUUCUCAUUGGACGGUAAACGAUGGGACCCUUCCUCUGAUUUCAAUUUCGACCUGGCUAAAAAGAGCAGUGAAUUCUCAACGGACGGCAAGCGGUGGGAUCCGUCCUCCGAUUUCAAUUUCGACCUGGCUAAAAAGAGCAGUGGGUUCUCAACGGACGGCAAACGAUGGGAUCCAUCCUCCGAUUUUAACUUCGACCUGGCUAAAAAGAGCAGUGAGUUCUCAACGGACGGCAAACGAUGGGAUCCGUCCUCCGAUUUCAAUUUUGACCUCGCUUAAAAGAAAAGUGGGUAUGAACAUAAGGAAUGCAAGCAGAUUGGUGAUUGUCCGAUGGGACUAGCUUGUGUGGGAGGAGCAUGCAAAGACAUUUGAAAACGAAAAAGAAAUUUUGGAACACUUCUUGUUUUUUUAAACACUAAAAAAGAGAGCCGGAUUGAUGUUUCAAUAGCGGUUCUAAAUGUUGUCAUCAUAAUGAUCAAAUAAUAAA